rnacentral:rRNA from 1 species
GACGAACGCUGGCGGCGUGCUUAACACAUGCAAGUCGAACGGAAAGGCCCUGCUUUUGUGGGGUGCUCGAGUGGCGAACGGGUGAGUAACACGUGAGUAACCUGCCCUUGACUUUGGGAUAACUUCAGGAAACUGGGGCUAAUACCGGAUAGGAGCUCCUGCUGCAUGGUGGGGGUUGGAAAGUUUCGGCGGUUGGUGAUGGACUCGCGGCUUAUCAGCUUGUUGGUGGGGUAGUGGCUUACCAAGGCUUUGACGGGUAGCCGGCCUGAGAGGGUGACCGGCAACUUUGGGCGGGAGACACGGCCCAGACUCCACGGGGAGGAAGCAGGGGGAAAUUUUGAACAAGGGGGGAAAGCCUGAGGAAGCAACCCCGGGGGGGGGAUGACGGCUUUGGGGUUGUAACCCGUUUUCGCUUGUGGCGAGGCGGGAGUGGGGGUAAGGGAUAGAGAAGCCCCGGCUAACUCCGUG